AAUUUAAAACUCAUUUAUGAAAUCCUUUAUUUCUUUUAGAA
rnacentral:tRNA from 1 species